UCUUUUCCAAGAGCUUCUG
rnacentral:snRNA from 1 species